rnacentral:rRNA from 1 species
UACGAAGGACCCGAGCGUUAUCCGGAUUCAUUGGGUUUAAAGGGUGCGUAGGCGGAUUGAUAAGUCAGUGGUGAAAGCCCAUCGCUUAACGAUGGAACUGCCAUUGAUACUGUCGAUCUUGAGUACAUUUGAAGUGGGCGGAAUGUGUCAUGUAGCGGUGAAAUGCUUAGAUAUGACACAGAACACCGAUUGCGAAGGCAGCUCACUAAACUGUAACUGACGCUGAGGCACGAAAGCGUGGGGAUCAAACAGG